rnacentral:rRNA from 1 species
GAUGAACGCUGGCGGCGUGCUUAACACAUGCAAGUCGAACGAUGAAGCCCAGCUUGCCGGGUGGAUUAGUGGCGAACGGGUGAGUAACACGUGAGUAACCUGCCCUUAACUCUGGGAUAAGCCUGGGAAACUGGGUCUAAUACCGGAUAGGAGCGUCCACCGCAUGGUGGGUGUUGGAAAGAUUUAUCGGUUUUGGAUGGACUCGCGGCCUAUCAGCUUGUUGGUGAGGUAAUGGCUCACCAAGGCGACGACGGGUAGCCGGCCUGAGAGGGUGACCGGCCACACUGGGACUGAGACACGGCCCAGACUCCUACGGGAGGCAGCAGUGGGGAAUAUUGCACAAUGGGCGCAAGCCUGAUGCAGCGACGCCGCGUGAGGGAUGACGGCCUUCGGGUUGUAAACCUCUUUCAGUAGGGAAGAAGCGAAAGUGACGGUACCUGCAGAAGAAGCACUGGCUAACUACGUG